rnacentral:other from 1 species
AUAAGCCUAGGAUGUUCGUUAAAGCCUUGAAAUUCAACCACCAAUAAGCAUCCGGGAGUUCGGGUUUCUCUGUGGAUAACAGGCCUCGCUUUGUGGAAGUUUGAAGCAUGGAAUAGAACACCCACCUAGUUGAUACCGGGUGUGAAUUUCCAAGGUGACGGCAUCUUGGGUAUAUU